ACCCGCCCUCACAUCUCUUGCUUUCUCAUCUGAUAGAUUUUUUUUUUUUAAAUUACACUAAGAACCAUGUCUCAAAGAACUUGCUUGGAAUAGAAACAUUGCCCAACACCACACAGAGUUCGUGAGGUUUUUUUUUUUUUUUUUUUUUUUGGUUCUUUUUUUCCCAGCAAAGUCAGCUGCUUGGCAGAGGUCCAAGUUUCAAGUUUCCUAAACGCUGAUGGUGGCCUUGAACGCAGGCCAGGCUCUCUGUCCAGCAGCGUAUAAAUCUCAGCUGCCUGAGCCUUACACAUGUGCCUCGUCUGCACAUGAUGUCCUCAACUAGCAACAUGAAGUUGGGCGGUCUCUUCCUCCUGGCCAGUCUCCUCACCCUCAACACAAGACUCCAGGCAAUUGGUGUCUGUGUGGACCAGUGCCGAGGAGACCAGGACUGCGCGGCAGGAGAGAAGUGCGUCAGCAAUGGCUGUGGCCACGUGUGCUCACCAGCCCCGCAAGCAACCAUCUGCAGCCGCGAGUGCAGUGAAGACAGGGAUUGCGGGAGAGGAAAACAGUGCGUCCAGGAUGGCUGUCGGCGAGUCUGCUCCCCGCUGAUGAGUGCAGGUGAGUCCUGACUCUCUGCACCCUGCUCUGUCCUGGAAGAGUUAAGUGCAGGGCGCGAUCUGAUCUGGCACAAUUGUGUGCUCAUCCAGAGAAACACACCGGAAUGCCUGAGGUGUUUAUGGUAAUCACUGUGUCUGGAGUCUCUUGUCUAGUCCAGCCUCUCUUCACUUGCCCAGGCCA
rnacentral:lncRNA from 1 species